CGUGCGUGGGUCAGGAAGCCAGGCAGAAGCCAAGGCGUGGGGGAAGACUGCUCCUCGGCUUGGGCUACGAGGCCCAGCACAGAAGUUCCAGAGCGAGGGGCUCAUGGGAGAAAGAGGAAGUACGGAGAGAGGCAAGAAUGCAUCUCCAGAGGUCCAGAUUAGGUCAUCUGGAGGCUGACUCGUUGGACUCUUAGAAUUGGAUUGUCUGGAGGAGGCAGCUUCAGAGAGAAGAAAAACUGAUGUGGCAGCCGCACUCUCUGGGGGGCCUCAGAACAUUCAUUUCUCUGAUUCAGCCAGGAAGCCAACCAGCAGGAAGCCUGUCUUCCUUCGGACUCUGUGACUGCUGAAGUCAGGAAGAAUGAGUUUAAUUCGUGCAGGGGGCUGAGGUCUGUGGCGGUACCAGCACCAGAGAGGAGUGAGUGCUGAUGUCAAAGAGGAGAAGAAAGCUCAAAGUGAAGUCCUCCGAGGUCGCGCUUCAUCCCUCCCUGUCUAAUAAAGCUUGGCUGGUUUCGCUAGCACCCUGAUUCGGUGUGAUGUUCCAGAAAGUGAAGAGGGGGAAUGCUUUUCUGCAAUGCAAACAGAAACACGGGCUGGAGAGAUGAUGCAGUUGCUCAGGGUGUUUCCUGCUCUGGUAGAGGAUCCUGUUUUGGUUCUCAGCAUCCACAUCAGUGGGCUCACAACCACCUGAUACUUCCGUUGCAGGGGACCUGACACCCUCUUUUGGCCUCUGUGGACACGCACACAUAUGUGCAGUUCACGAACACGCAAACACAAACACACACAAAUAAUAAAGUAUGUUGUUUUUUUUAAGUACCAUUACAAAGUCGUAAGAAAAUAUUCACAGUUCAUUUAAUGAACAAGGUCUCAUCUCCUUUAUGUAUAGAAUGUUCUCAUAAAUCAAUAAGAAAAAGACCACCAGCCCAAAGAAAAAUGUGUAAAAUAAAAUUCACAGAAAGAGGAUGUAUUUGUUAA